GUGGAUGAAAAGCCAUACCAAUGUAAGUGUAAUGACUAUAAACUCAGACUUGUGACCCGUCUUCCUGAUGUCAUCACCUCUUUGCACAGUGGACAGCAAGCACGGUCGGUUUGGCUUCUGUAAACACUCUUUGGAUGGCAAAGCAAGCAAGCAUUAAUUCCUUAAAGGAGGCUUGAGAAUGUGCCUGGGAUUCAGCGCCCUGACUGACAGCAGGCGCGAGCCUCUGCUGGCGGCUUUGUCAGACACAAUCACUUUAUUGCCCCCGGCCUCGGGCUGGGGACAAGCCCCAGGUUGUGGCCGUUCAGCUGAAGGCGUGCGCUGUUCUCUCAGCGAAGCAGGAGCUUUACGGCGUGGCUAAACACCGAGACCCCAGGAUUAAGAUACGCAGACAGCACUGUGCUCACCUCUGAGGCUGCUGAGGAUGGGAGAUAAAAUAGGAAGGCAGCGCUGCAAGUGAUACUGAGGCUAGAAACUUUCUACUGUGGCAUCGGAGACAUUGCUGGAGCACUGCUGGCCCAUGUACAAGGGCUUCUAUAAAGGAAUCUGCCGUAUGUGGGGGAGAGAGAUACUAAAUCAUAGGAAAUAUAAAGAAACUUCAUGCUUUUGGCUUCAAAUUCUGUCAUUCCUUUCCUUUCUUGCAUCAGUAUCAAAUGUCAGGGUCACUUAAAAACGUUCCUUUUUUCCUUUCUGAUACUUUGUCUCCAUGGACAGAAGAAUGUGUAUGCCAGGUGCACAACCAGGCAGACUUUCUUUGCCUCUCUGUGUACCUAGUCCAGUGGUGGAAAAUAAACUCAUAGGAAAACUCCAGGACAAUCUGUAUCAGCCCCUGAUCCAGCACCUCUGUAUAUUUAGCAGUGAUAUGUUUGGGCUCCAGCUGAAAAAGGAUGCAUGUAAUGAGGUAUAUUUGUUGCACUGAAAUAAAGUACUUGUGCUUAUGGCUGAA